rnacentral:tRNA from 1 species
AAUAAAGUAAGCUAAUUAUAAGCUAGUGGGUUCAUACCCCAAAAAUGAACU